AAGCGCGGCCGGAGGUCGGGCCACGCGGGGCUGGGAAGGUUCAAUGGCGUGGCGGGGCGUGGCGGCCGAGUUCCUGCAGGUGCCGGCGGUGACGCGAACUUACACUGCGGCCUGCGUCCUCACCACUGCGGCGGUGCAGCUGGAGCUUCUCAGCCCCUUCCAGCUCUACUUCAACCCGCACCUCGUACUCCGGAAGUUCCAGGUCUGGAGGCUCGUCACCAACUUCCUCUUCUUCGGGCCCCUGGGAUUCAGCUUCUUCUUCAACAUGCUCUUCGUCUUCCGCUACUGCCGCAUGCUGGAGGAGGGUUCCUUCCGCGGCCGCAAGGCCGACUUCGUCUUCAUGUUUCUUUUCGGGGGCGUCCUCAUGACCCUGCUGGGGCUCCUGGGCAGCCUGUUCUUCCUGGGCCAGGCCCUCACCGCCAUGCUGGUGUACGUCUGGAGCCGCCGCAGCCCUCGGGUGAGGGUCAACUUCUUCGGCCUCCUCACCUUCCAGGCGCCAUUCCUGCCCUGGGCGCUCAUGGGCUUCUCCCUGUUGCUGGGCAACUCUAUCCUCGUGGACCUGCUGGCCUUGCCCUCCCAGCUUCUUGCUUCUCACAGCCCCUGGAACAUGCCAGCCGGCCUGUAGGUUUCACAUCUUCAGGCCUGACCUACUGGUGCUUGUGUGGGUCCUGACUGGGGUGGGGAUGGGUGGGUCAAGUUUCCAGCCAUGGCUCCUCCUCCUUGGAUGUCCUCAGGCCCUCCACUCCCCAGGUCCUGCCCCCUUCUGGGCCCUGUAAGCCUGUCCUUUGGGGCAAACCCCGGCCCUGCCCCUGGUCUGGCAGUGUGUCCAGGACUUUGAGCACUCUGGCUCUGGAGCCCGAGGUUGCUCUGGGCCUGGCUGGGCCUCCAGGGCUUUGCAUGGAGGCCUGGGGCAGGCUCUGCUGGCCCUGGGCUCUGGCCGGUGGAGGGUGGCCUUGGCAUUCCCCGGCUCUCCCCAGGGAUUGCUGUGGGCCACAUCUACUACUUCCUGGAGGAUGUCUUCCCCAACCAGCCUGGAGGCAAGAGGCUGCUACACACCCCCAGCUUCCUGAAGCUGCUACUGGAUGCCCCAGAGGAAGACCCCGAUUACCUGCCCCUCCCUGAGGA